ACAUACAUACAUACAAUAAAAUCAUACUGCCAAUCAACUGUGCAAAGAGGAUGUGGAGAACUAUACAGGUACCAGGCAGCACUUUAUAAUAUAUUAAAAAUGGAAAGUGAACAGUGUGAUCAGCACAAAAAAGUGAACAAUGUGAGCAAGAAAAUAUAAACAAACAAAAUCAUACCACCACAUAAUAGCCUAAUUAUUAUGUUGGCUUGACAAAGCCAACAUACUGAUCUACUAUUUAAGCUUAUUAGUGGUGCUUGCAAAGCAUAUGGGUGGAAUCAUUUAAUGCGGCCUAGCAAGAAGUUUUGGAGCAUUACAUGAGUUUCGGGGUAAGAUGUACCCCUGGGGGGUAAAACGGGCCCAAAUAUGCCCCAUAGGCAUACCAUGUCAAGGGUCUCACCCAUGAAAACAAUUGUUUUUUCCCCAACUAUGACAAGACACUUUAUUUUGUGGGAUCAUAUCUCCCAAUCAAAAUGUCGCAGAGACAUGUGGGCAGGCUCAUUUCACUUGGGCUACCAAUCACUCUUUAAGUAUCACCUUGGAAACGGCAUAGCCACACCCUAACAACCAUUUACAGCACCCUAGCAACCGCCCCAAAGACUUCCAUUCAAAAUGGCUCAGAUGGAUAUCUUCAGAACAGAAUAUCAUAGACACUUGGGGAUUGGCUCUUUUGAGUCAGGUUAGUAAGCAGUCAAUAAGAAUCACUCUGUUCACUGGCUAGCCACUCCCUGGCAGCCAUUUAGAGCACCCUAGCAACCAGCUCUAUUGAUUUCAAUUAGAGUGUGAUAUCUUUGGAUCAGAAUGUCCUAGAGACAUGAGAAUUGGUUUGGCUUCAAGUAUCAUCAUGGAAACUACUUAGCCAUGCCCUAGCAACCACUUAGAGCACCCUAGCAACGAAACACCAUUGACUUCCUUUCAAAAUCACUAAGAUGGGUAUAUCAGGAUCAGAAUGUCGUAUAGACUUCAUUGUUGGUUUGUAUGACUAGAUUUUUAGAAUCACCAUGGCAACUGCCUAGCAACUACAUGGGCUUACCCUAGCAACCAAGUAGCAAAACACAUAUCUCCGCACCAGAACAUUGUAGAGACUUCCGUGUUGACUUAUUUCUCUCAGGAUAGCAAGAAGCCAUAUUAACUAUCACCUUGGUAACUGCCUAGCAACCACAUGGGGUUACCCUAGCAACCAAGUAACAAAUCACAUAUCUCUGAACCAGAAUAUUGUAGAGAAUUCCAGAUUGACUUAUUUCACUCAGGAUAGCAAGGAGCCAUAUUAACUAUCACCUUGGUAACUGCCUAUCAACCAGGUGGGGUUACCCUAGCAACCAAGUAACAAAUCACAUAUCUCUGCACCAGAAUAUCUUAAUUUCCGGUUUGACUUAUUUUACUCAGGAUAGCAAGGAGCCUUGUUCAAUAUCACCCUGGUAACUGCCUAGCAAUCAGAUGGGGUAACCCUAGCAACCAAGUAACAAAUCACAUAUCUCUGCACCAGAAUAUCGUAGAGACUUCCUGUUUGGCUUGUUUGACUCAGUCUAGCAAGGAACAUUUUGAGUAUCACCCUGGUAACUGCCUAGCAACCAGAUGGAACACCCUAGCAACCAUAGAACAACACUAAUAUCUCUGCACCAGAACAUCUUACUGUCGUGGGGGUUGCCUAAUUAUUAUUAUUCUUAUUAUUCUUAUUCUGUACAAAACUUCGGCACCUAACUCGUCCCGCACCGUUUGUAGUACACCCAUGAAUUAGGUGUCAAAUCGACUGGCCUAUUGACGACACCUGUGCUAUGACUUUUCUAAGGGAUUGGGUUUACGGUGCACCCCUGGGGGGCAAAAAACAUCCCGAAAAUUUCCCAUAGGCAUACUAUGGCAAGGGUCUCGCCCAUGAAAACAUUUUUUCCCCUACUAUGGCAGUCAAUGUAAGAAAGUUGUCAGAUCAUAUCUCCCAAUCAGAAUGACAUAGAGACAUGGGGGUGGGCUCAUUUCAAUCGGGAUACCAAUCACUCUUUAAGUAUCACCUUAAAAAUGGCAUAGCCAUGCCUUAACAACCAUAUAUGAGACCCUAGCAACCACCCCUCAUUAACUUCCAUUCAAAAUGUCUCAAAAGGAUAUCUUCAGAACAGAAUAUCGUACACACUUGGGGAUUGGCUCUUUUGAGUCAGGUUAGUAAGCAGCCAAUAAGAAUCACUCUGUUCACUGGCUAGCCACGCCCUGGCAACCAUUUAGACCACCCUAGCAACCAACUCUAUUGCUUUCACUUAGUGUGAUAUCUUCGGAUCAAAAUGUCCUAGAGACAUGAGAGUUGGCUUGUUUUAAUUGGGUGAGCAAUCAGUCUUCAAGUAUCAUCAUGGGAACUACUUAGCCACGCCCUAGUAACCAUUUAGAGAACCCUAGCAACCAAACACCAUUGACGUCUAUUCAAAAUCACUAAGAUGGGUAUCUCAGGAUCAGAAUGUCGUAGAGACUUCUGGAUUGACUUAUUUCACUCAGGAUGGCAAGGAGCCUUGUUAAGUAUCACCCUGGUAACUGCCUAGCAACCAUAUGGGGUUACCCUAGCAACCAAGUAACAAAUCAAAUAUCUCCACACCAGAACAUCAUAGACACUUCCGGGUUGACUUAUUUCACUCAGGAUACCAAGGAGCCUUGAAAAGAAUGACCCUGGUAACUGCCUAGCAACCACAUGGGCUUACCCUAGCAACUAAGUAACAAAUCACAAAUCUCUGCACCAGAACAUCAUAGAGACUUCCGGGUUGACUUAUUUCACUCAGGAUAGCAAGGAGCCUUGAUAAGUAUCACUCUGGUAACUGCCUAGCAACCAUGUGGGCUUACCAUAGCAACCAAGUAACAAAUCACAUAUCUCAGCACCAGAAAAUCGUAGAGAUUUCUGAGUUGACUUUUUUCACUCAGGAUAGCAAGGAGCCUUGUUAAGUAUCACCCUGGGAACUGCCUAGCAACCAGCUGGGGUUACCCUAGCAACCAAGUAACAAAUCACAUAUCUCUGCACCAGAAGAUCAUAGAGACUUCCGGGUUGACUUAUUUCACUCAGGAUGUCAAGAAGCCUUGUUAAGUAUCACGCUGGUAACUGCCUAGCAACCAGAUGAGGUUACCCUAGAAACCAUGUAACAAAUCACAUAUAUCUGCACCAGAACAUCGUAGAGACUUCCAGGUUGACUUAUUUCACUCAGGAUGGUAAGGAGCCUUGUUAAGUAUCACCCUUGUAACUGCCUAGCAACCAGAUGGGCUUACUCUAGCAACCAAGUAACAAAUCACAUAUCUCAGCACCAGAAAAUAGUAGAGAUUUCUGAGUUGACUUUUUUCAGUCAGGAUAGCAAGGAGCCUUUUGAGUAUCACCUUGGGAACUGCCUAGCAACCAAGUGGGUUUACCCUAGCAACCAAGUAACAAAUAAAAUAUCUCCGCACCAGAACAUCGUAGAGACUAAUGGGUUGACUUAUUUCACUCAGGAUACCAAGGAGCCUUUAUAAGUAUUACCCUGGUAACUGCCUAGCAACCACAUGGGCUUACCCUAGCAACCAAGUAACAAAUCACAUAUCUACGCACCAUAACAUUGUAGAGACUUCGGGGUUGACUUAUUUCACUCAGGAUAGCAAGGAGCCAUGUUAAGUAUCACCUUGGUAACUGCCUAGCAACCAGAUGGGGUUACCCUAGCAACCAAGUAACAAAUCACAUAUCUCUGCACCAGAAAAUCAUAGAGACUUCCGGGUUGACUUAUUUCACUCAGGAUAGCAAGAAGCUUUGUUAAGUAUCACCUUGUUAACUGCCUAGCAAGGAGAAGCGAUCUAUCUACAGGAGUCUGCAGUUGCAUGUAAGUGUGUUUAUUUCAUUGUUUUACUUUGUUGUAGAGUGGUAUUCAUUGCUAGACUUGUGUUGUUUGUUUACUGUCUUGAACUCCCGUCGCAUAAAUGUGGGUUGGUGUGUGUGUGUGUGUGCUAUAUUGUUUUGACUUGUCCCAGGGUAUUCACUGCUAGAUUUAGCGUUGGUUGUCCAGUGUGCGUAAAACUAUCAUGGUUUUUAGUGUCUAUAAACAGUGCUUCACUUGUUUUAGAGUAUUAUUUAUUGCUAAAGUGCAGCAUAAUUUAUUUGCGGUGUACGGAAGUCGCGUUUGUUCCUGUGCUUGUCACCUCACAUGACCCUUAGUUUCGAUUGACCACGUGACUAGCUUUGUUGUGCUAAGUAGUAUCCUGCUUUUUUUCAUUGAACGGCUCAUUAUCAUCGUGUAUAUAUUUGACUUGAAUGCUGACGCGGCAGUGGAAGUGGUAGCCCUCGUGUAAAGCCCUCCUCGUUUGAAGACCUACUUGGGUAAAGACCAGCGAGUCUACCUAGCAAGGACACCGACAAGGCGCCACUCACCAUAGCACUUAAGUAUCUUGUUAUUGUGUCUCUUUUCUUAUUUUCCAUCUAUAUACUAACAUGUCUACUUCACGAAUAAUGCAUGCCUUCAAGCACAUCCCUGUUAUCUGUUACAGACCGUUUACAUGAUAUCAAUGCAAGACCAAACGCAACCCACACAACCUACGGCCACUUUGCACUUCAGCACCUGCUCUGCCCUCUUUCUCAGUGGGACUCUGGAACUACCAGUCAGCUGUGAACAAAGCUGACUUCAUUCCAGCCUUUGCCACGCAGUUCACCCUCAGCAUCCUGGCACUGACAGAAACAUAGAUACAUCCAGAGGAUACAGCAAUACCUGCUGCUCUCUUCAACAACUUCUUCUUCUCUCACAACCCUUGACACACCGGUAGGGGUGGGGGAACAGGUUUGCUCAUUCAUAACAACUGGACUUUUUCACCACACUUUUCACUAUGUAACAAUACUAGUUUUGAAUUCCAUGCUAUUACUGCAAUGCAACCCACAAAAAUACAUGUUGUCAUCUAUCGACCUCCAGGUCAGCUGACAAACUUUCUUGAGGAGUUGGAUGUCCUGCUGUCCUCCUUGCCAGAGGAUGGUAGGCCACUUGUGGUUCUUGGUGAUUUCAACAUACACCAAGACAAGCCCGAGGCCACUGAAAUGAAUACUUUCCUGGCCUCAUUUGACUUGGAAAGACUACACACCACAGCAACUCACAGAUCAGGCAACCAGCUGGACCUCAUUUUUACAUGCCAGCAUGUGCUACACCACCCAGCCCCUGGCUGUCUGACGUCCUUUGUGAACAUCGGACUGACCUCAGGGCAGCUGAGAGGAGAUGGUGGAAAUCUAAAGAUCCAGCAGACCUAGUUCUCUCCUCUGACUGACACGAGGUCUCUAAACUCCUCCUCUCCAACCACCCCACCACCUGUUCCCUUGACCCCAUUCCUUCUCACCUUGCAACCACUUGCAACUCAACCCAGCCAAGACUGAACUCCUUGUCUUUCCAGCCAACCCUGCUGUUGAACAAAACAUCACCAUGCAGCUGGGUGCAACUACAGUAACACCUUCCAAAACUGUCAGAAAUCUAGGGGUAACCAUCGACAACAGACUAAAUUUCACAGACCACAUCUCAAAGACUGCAAGAUCAUGUAGAAUUACACUCUACAAUAUCAGGAAGAUAAGACCCUUCCUCUCUGAACAUGCCACACAACUGCUUGUCCAGUCACUUGUCAUAACUAGACUGGACUACUGUAAUGCUCUAAUUGCAUGCCUUCCUGCAUGUGCAAUUAGACCCCUGAAAAUUAUCCAGAAUACAGCAGCACAUCUGGUCUUAAAUGAACCAAAGAGAGUGCAUGUUACACCACUCCUUGUCUCUCUCCAUUGGCUGCCGACUGAUGCACGUAUCAAAUUCAAGGCUCUGAUGCUGGCAUACAGAACAGUCACUGGGUCUGCUCCAGCAUACCUAAAAUCAUUUAUGCAGAGCUACGUGCCCACUAGAAGCCUGCAGUCGGCUAAGAAACGUCGCCUUGUUGAACCAACACAAAGAGGCACCAAAACACUUUUCCGGACUUUCAGCUUCAUCAUACCACGUUGGUGGAACGACCUUCCCAACUCCAUCCGUGAAGCUGACUCACUCUCUGUCUUCAAAAAAACGACUAAAAACACAUCUUUUCCAUGAGCACUUAACCAGUCAUUAAAAAAAAAAAAUCCUAUUGCACGUUAUUCUGUUUUGAAUACUAUUCUGAUGCUAGUGAAACUUUGUAAUACAGCACUUUUCAUACCACUGUCUCCUUAAGAUGAUUCACUUAUGUUUUGCUCUUUUGUAAGUCGCUUUGGCUAAAAGCAUCUGCCAAAUGAAUAAAUAUAAAUGUAAAUGUAAAAUGCCACACCCUAGUGUGAUAUCUUCAGAUCAGAAUGUCCUACAGACAUGAGAUUUGGCUUGUUUGAAUUGGGUGAGCAAUCAGCCUUCAAGUAUCAUCAUGGAAACUACUUAACCACGCCCUAGCAACGAUUAUUGUAUUGGUGUAUUAACCCUUAGUCCACCAACAUACUAAAUGUCCAUUUCAAUUUAUUGUAUUGGUCUAUUACCCCUGUGUCAACCAACAUACUAAAUGUCCAUUUUCAAUUUAUUGUAUUGGUCUAUUACCCCUGUGUCCAUCAACAUACUAAAUGCCCAUUUUCAAUUUAUUGUAUUGGUCUAUUGUGUCCACCAACAUAUUAAAUGUCCAUUUUCAAUUUA